rnacentral:rRNA from 1 species
ACGAACGCUGGCGGCGUGCCUAAUACAUGCAAGUUGAGCGCUGAAGGUUGGUACUUGUACCAACUGGAUGAGCAGCGAACGGGUGAGUAACGCGUGGGGAAUCUGCCUUUGAGCGGGGGACAACAUUUGGAAACGAAUGCUAAUACCGCAUAAAAACUUUAAACACAAGUUUUAAGUUUGAAAGAUGCAAUUGCAUCACUCAAAGAUGAUCCCGCGUUGUAUUAGCUAGUUGGUGAGGUAAAGGCUCACCAAGGCGAUGAUACAUAGCCGACCUGAGAGGGUGAUCGGCCACAUUGGGACUGAGACACGGCCCAAACUCCUACGGGAGGCAGCAGUAGGGAAUCUUCGGCAAUGGACGAAAGUCUGACCGAGCAACGCCGCGUGAGUGAAGAAGGUUUUCGGAUCGUAAAACUCUGUUGGUAGAGAAGAACGUUGGUGAGAGUGGAAAGCUCAUCAAGUGACAGUAACUACCCAGAAAGGGACGGCUAACUACGUG